rnacentral:rRNA from 1 species
UACAGAGGAUGCAAGCGUUAUUCGGAAUGAUUGGGCGUAAAGCGUCUGUAGGUGGCUUUUUAUGUCCGCCGUCAAAUCCCAGGGCUCAACCCUGGACAGGCGGUGGAAACUACCAAGCUGGAGAACGGUAGGGGCAGAGGGAAUUUCCGGUGGAACGGUGAAAUGCGUAGAGAUCGGAAAGAACACCAACGGCGAAAGCACUCUGCUGGGCCGACACUGACACUGAGAGACGAAAGCUAGGGGAGCGAAUGGG